CAGCCGCCACGGUAAAACGAAGGGUGCAAGCGUUAAUCGGAAUUACUGGGCGUAAAGCGUGCGUAGGCGGUGAGUUAAGUCUGCUGUGAAAGCCCUGGGCUCAACCUGGGAAUUGCAGUGGAUACUGGGUCACUAGAGUGUGGUAGAGGAUAGUGGAAUUUCCGGUGUAGCAGUGGAAUGCGUAGAGAUCGGAAGGAACAUCUGUGGCGAAGGCGACUAUCUGGGCCAACACUGACACUGAGGCACGAAAGCGUGGGGAGCAAACAGGAUUAGAUACCCCGGUAGUCCCUGUCUCUUAUAC
rnacentral:rRNA from 1 species